rnacentral:rRNA from 1 species
UACGGAGGGUGCAAGCGUUAAUCGGAAUUACUGGGCGUAAAGGGUGCGUAGGCGGUUUAAUAAGUUAAGUGUGAAAGUCCUGGGCUUAACCUGGGGAAGUCAUUUAAGACUGUUAGACUAGAGUAUGGGAGAGGGUAGUGGAAUUUCCGGUGUAGCGGUGAAAUGCGUAGAGAUCGGGAAGAACAUCAGUGGCGAAGGCGGUCUGCUGGGCCGUUGCUGACGCUGAGGCGCGACAGCGUGGGGAGCAAACAGG